rnacentral:lncRNA from 1 species
CAGGGAACCCCGGCCCCCGCCGCGCCUGCCCCUUCUCCCUUAUUGGGCGUUUUGCCGGGAAGGCUCAUGGACGUCUCACUCGCACGGGUGUUUGGCCGUUUUCUCGCUCUCGUUUUGGGUUUUCUGUUAAACUGCGGUCCCUUUGCCUCGGUCCUGGUGCAGCUGCUGCUUGGGUUUUCCAUCCUCCUGAGACCACCGGUGCAAUUCCCAAUUCCCAUCUCAACGCCACCGCCCACCCGGACGCCGCUGGGCUCAGCCCUGGGCCCGCUCGUCCCGGUAUCUCACGCUCCCUGACCCGGCCUCAAUGUCCUGACCACUCGGUGCAGCCGGAGACGCCGGGGUCCAGCACGUGCUCGGAAGCCUGCUGCUCCCACAGGGUCCCCAGCACAGGGGAGGAAAUGGAAGCUCGGACAGAUGGACUUGCUACUGGGCACGCAGAAGCCGGCUAGCAUUUGCAGACAGCCUGACCUUGGAGCCUGCGCUUGAACACCUUCCUCCACUGCUUCUGAGAACCCAGCAGUUUCCAACGGCAGCCUCCCUUCAGAAGGAAAAUACA